rnacentral:rRNA from 1 species
AUUGAACGCUGGCGGCAGGCCUAACACAUGCAAGUCGAACGAGUGGCGGACGGGUGAGUAAUGUCUGGGAAACUGCCUGAUGGAGGGGGAUCACUACUGGAAACGGUAGCUAAUACCGCAUACCAUCAGAUGUGCCCAGAUGGGAUUAGCUUGUUGGUGGGGUAACGGCUCACCAAGGCGACGAUCCCUAGCCGGUCUGAGAGGAUGACCAGUAAGUCUGGAACUAGGACACUGUCCAGAAACCGUCGGAAGGCAGCAGUGGGGAAUAUUGCACAAUGGGCGCAGGUCUGAGGCAGCCAUGCCGCGUGUAUGAAGAAGGCCUUCGGGUUGUAAAGUACUUUCAACUGGGAGUCGUUACCCGCAGAAGAAGCACCGGCUAACUCCGUGCCAGCAGCCGCGGUAAUC